AUGCCAUGUUGAGGACACUUUCAGAGUAGUCCUUUAAAUCUUUCCCAAGCCUCAUACAGAGAUUCGCUUUCUUUUUGUUCAAAAGCAGUGAUCUCCACUUUGAGUCG